rnacentral:misc_RNA from 1 species
GUAUUACUUCACAUUUAUUGUCCGAAGUUGGAAUUUUUAGACCAAAUCACAAGGAUAAUAUUUUCUUCUUUAAUGAAACUCUUAAAUCUUCAUAUAACUGAUCUACCUUUUAGGCUUCAACCACACCAAGAAAAUAGACCUCAUAUGGUGCAUUGCUUCUUUUCCAGCUUUGUUUACAUCACAGGAGUUAAUAGAUCAUCCAGCAUUUAACAACUCAAGAUAGGAAAGAUAUAUAUGAAGGAAUACAGAGAUAAAAAAGAAUGUCAGGAAGGCAGUUUAAAGGAAUCAAAAUGGGA